CAUAAUUAUAGCUCAGAUAAAGCAAAUAUAAAUAUCCUCAAUUACCACAACGACAAAUUCUCCAAAAAUUAUCGCAGUUAUCAUUAUUUAACAUCAACAGCUCCCUACUGUAACAUAUAUGACUCAUGUGUGACUCCGUGCAAAUGCCUUUGGUACCAAAGUGUUAUCCUUAGCGGUAUCACCACGUCCACUCAAGAAAGAUAACCACCAAAAAAG
rnacentral:lncRNA from 1 species